rnacentral:rRNA from 1 species
AUUGAACGCUGGCGGCAGGCCUAACACAUGCAAGUCGAACGAGUGGCGGACGGGUGAGUAAUGUCUGGGAAACUGCCUGAUGGAGGGGGAUAACUACUGGAAACGGUAGCUAAUACCGCAUACCAUCGGAUGUGCCCAGAUGGGAUUAGCUAGUAGGUGGGGUAAAGGCUCAACUAGGCGACGAUCCCUAGCUGGUCUGAGAGGAUGACGCGUCACACUGCAACUGAGACACGGGCCAGCCUCGUAAGGGAGGCAGGGUUGGGGAAUAUUGCACAAUGGGCGUAAGCCUGAUGCAGCCAUGCGGGGGGUAUGAAGAAGGCCUUCGGGUUGUAAAGUACUGUCAGCGGGGGGGCGUUACCCGCAGAAGAAGCACCGGCUAACUCCGUGCCAGCAGCCGCGGUAAUUC